rnacentral:lncRNA from 1 species
AGGGCCAUAUCACCAGCUGAGGUGCGCAAUGCAUUGUGGGGCAGAAGCAGUACAUGAAGCAAGCUCCGUUCCACACUCAGAAAUCGAAGCCGAUUGAGUAUACAUCUGGGCAUUUCUCGCAUACACAAAAUUCGCAUACUGUACAGUGUGAACGUACUGCCUACUCAAUUCAGAGGCAGGGUUAGUAGGAGUAGUAGGAGUAGUAUGCCAUUUUCGGACACAGCCCUGGUCUUGAUUGACAGCUGUCUUCCAGACACCACAACACAGAGUCAGCCAGUUGCCUUGAGUUUCAAGUCAGAUUCAUGACAAAGGUCCUAAAUCAUCAAGCAUCAUAUUUGACACAUCCCCUCGUGACCCCACACUGAAGAAUGUCCCACUCUACAGCCAUCUUGGAUGACCACACCAUCCCCAAACAGGAAGUAGCCCUUAACGCAUUAAUGCCCUCAUGUAUCUCCACCCAAAACAUGGCCUAAAUCUGAGUAAAUCAGUGACAAACAGCAACGAAUCGGCAAGCGGGCAGGCACAUAUAAAACAUUUCCCUGGAAUUUCCUAGUUAUCAUUAUUAUUUUGUUAGCCCACACAAUAGUAGCAAAGUCACAAUAAACUUUGUAUCUAAACCUUGAACCAUGUACUUUAGACCUGACAAGAAACAAACAAAAAAAAAAGAAAAGAGGGCAUUUUUUAAUACAAGGCAAAAAGGGCAGGGGCUCAAGGACCCCUAGGGCCCUAUGUGUGCAUGAGGAUUCAGGGGAGAAAUACCUGCCAGACAGAGAGGGACAACGCAAUUUGAAAAGGGGAAACAAAAGAGGAGAAGGAGGAGUUUGAAUCCCUCAUGUGCCAAAAAUAAUUAUGCAUUAAAAUCAAUAUUUUUAUCAAUUAUUGAGAUGGUCAAGGCUGUUAUAUCUUCAUCAAGAAUAUUUCACUUUGCAUAUCAUUUCUGGAAAUAUUGCAUAAGUUGAUGUGUGUAAUUACAAAGCUCAGUAACACAUCUGCGAGCUUUCCAGCACCGUCUCGAGGCAUACGAUCCUAUUUCUUUAUUUAUCAGGGAUAAUGGACCCUUUUUGGAGUCUUGCCUUUGCGUUUGGCUGGGCAAGCUUACCACAAGAAGCCUUUGCGUCUAGCAGGGCUUUCAGUGUCGCAGGUAGCGUCUGGCACAUGGACCUUUAUUUCUUUAAAUUUAUGGGAUUAUGGACCUUUUAUAAUCUUGCCUUUGCGUCUGGCUGGCCAAGAUCACUUUUUUUUUUUUUUUUUUUUAACUUUUACAGGCACAACGGUUGGAUAUACUUUCUUGAACCCUGAGGGCCGGUUUUUGCAUCUGGCUGGACUGGUGACGCCUCAGACAGGACUCAUGUCUGGCAGGCCUGGCUGAUCGACAAGACAGAAGAAAACAGGAGACAGAGGACAGAAACCUAGAUCAAGAGGACAGCUUCAGAUAGCUCCUCACUUUCAUGCAACAUGGACGAAGAAAGUUAAGUACAAGUGUUCGAAUCAGAUCAAAUAUCACUGAAUAUCAAUAUUAUUUAUUGUAAAAUAUGUAAAAGACUUUACUACUAAC